GACGAACGCUGGCGGCGUGCUUAACACAUGCAAGUCGAACGGAAAGGCCCUGCUUUUGUGGGGUGCUCGAGUGGCGAACGGGUGAGUAACACGUGAGUAACCUGCCCUUGACUUUGGGAUAACUUCAGGAAACUGGGGCUAAUACCGGAUAGGAGCUCCUGCUGCAUGGUGGGGGUUGGAAAGUUUCGGCGGUUGGGGAUGGACUCGCGGCUUAUCAGCUUGUUGGUGGGGUAGUGGCUUACCAAGGCUUUGACGGGUAGCCGGCCUGAGAGAGUGACCGGCCACAUUGGGACUGAGAUUCGGCCCAGACUCCUACGGGAGGCAGCAGUGGGGAAUAUUGCACAAUGGGCGGAAGCCUGAUGCAGCAACGCCGCGUGCGGGAUGACGGCCUUCGGGUUGUAAACCGCUUUCGCCUGUGACGAAGCGUGAGUGACGGUAAUGGGUAAAGAAGCACCGGCUAACUACGUG
rnacentral:rRNA from 1 species